GUGACCUGCGGAGGAUCAUUACAGAGUUAGGGUCUUUUCGGGCCCGAUCUCCAACCCUAUGUGUACCUACCUUUGUUGCUUUGGCGGGCCCGUUGGGGUGAUCCACCGGCGGCCUUUGGCUCCCGAGUGCCCGUCAGAGACCCAUCAAAACCUGUUAACUGUGUCGUCUGAGUACCAACAUAUAAUAAUGAAAACUUUCAACAACGGAUCUCUUGGUUCUGGCAUCGAUGAAGAACGCAGCGAAAUGCGAAAAGUAAUGUGAAUUGCAGAAUUCAGUGAAUCAUCGAAUCUUUGAACGCACAUUGCGCCCCUCGGUAUUCCGGGGGGCAUGCCUGUUCGAGCGUCAUUACACCACUCAAGCUCGGCUUGGUGUUGGGCCCUCGUCCCCCGUGGACGUGCCCGAAAAUCAGUGGCGGUGCAGCCCGGCUUCAAGCGGUAUUAGUUUAUCUUCGCUUUGGAAGCUCCGGGUCUGGGCCUGCCAGACAACCCCACCAUUCUAUCAAGGUUGACCUCGGAUCAGGUAGGGAUACCCGCUGAACUUAAGCAUAUCAAUAAGCGGAGGAAAAGAAACCAACAGGGAUUGCCUCAGUAACGGCGAGUGAAGCGGCAACAGCUCAAAUUUGAAAUCUGGCUCUUUCAGGGUCCGAGUUGUAAUUUGCAGAGGAUGCUUCGGGUUCGGCUUCGGUCUAAGUUCCUUGGAACAGGACGUCAUAGAGGGUGAGAAUCCCGUAUGUGACCGGCCGCCACGCCCGUGUGAAGCUCCUUCGACGAGUCGAGUUGUUUGGGAAUGCAGCUCAAAAUGGGUGGUAAAUUUCAUCUAAAGCUAAAUAUUGGCCAGAGACCGAUAGCGCACAAGUAGAGUGAUCGAAAGAUGAAAAGCACUUUGGAAAGAGAGUCAAACAGUACGUGAAAUUGUUGAAAGGGAAGCGCUUGCAACCAGACUUGCCCGCGGGUGAUCAGCCGGUAUUCUUACUGGUGCACUCGCCCGUGGUCAGGCCAGCAUCGGUUUGGGCGGCUGGAUAAAGUUCACCGGAACGUAGCUCCCCUCGGGGAGUGUUAUAGCCGGAGGUGCAAUGCAGCCCGCCCGGACCGAGGACCGCGCU
rnacentral:sRNA from 1 species